GAUGAACGCUGGCGGCGUGCCUAACACAUGCAAGUCGAACGAAACUGAUUCCAUGAAACUUCGGUAGAUUGGAUGAAAGUUGAGUGGCGGACGGGUGAGUAACACGUGGGCAACCUGCCUCACAGAGGGGGAUAGCAGUUGGAAACGACUGAUAAUACCGCAUAAGCACACAGUACCGCAUGGUACAGGGUGAAAAGAUUUAUCACUGUGAGAUGGACCCGCGUCUGAUUAGCCAGUUGGCAGGGUAACGGCCUACCAAAGCGACGAUCAGUAGCCGACCUGAGAGGGUGACCGGCCACAUUGGGACUGAGACACGGCCCAAACUCCUACGGAGGCAGCAGUGGGGGAUAUUGCACAAUGGAGGAAACUCUGAUGCAGC
rnacentral:rRNA from 1 species